rnacentral:lncRNA from 1 species
GUGGAGGAAGUAAGUGGUGAGGGCUUCCGUGUUCUUCUUCUCUUGCUUUGGUUUGCAGAUUUAAAUUUUGUUCUAUUGAUAAAAAGCAGUAAUUUCUGUUUUUGGUUUGAGGGUUUGGGUUCUCUAGCAAACGAUUCGGGAUCCAACAUGUGCAUGCUUUGGCAAUAAGGUUCUGACAGUUUUUUGAUCUUUGUUAAUCUGUUUUGCUUUACAUGUGUAUCUAGUUUAUUCCGUCUUAGGGCGAUAUCUUUUAGAGUUC